UCAUUCAUUUCAUUCAGCAGAGGCCUGUUACGUGGAAAACUCCAGGCUAGGCUUGAGAAGAUGCAAGAAUGAAAAAAGACUUUUCCCUGAAGAAGCAAAAUGUGUUCCUUCCAAAUGGCUACAUGGCUGAAUUGACUGAUGAUGAGGAGAUUGACAGUUUGUGCUGAGUCCCAGGUGGGAGUAUCGUGAAAUUAGUCCAGCAGGAGCUGAGCAGAGCUUAACUCAUUCAUACAUUGCAGAAGAGAGAGAGGUCCACAGUUCUUUCCAGGAAUGAAUGCCUGAGGGUGGAAAAUUAGGAAGGGAGGAAAAAAAUCCCAGAAUGGAACUAAUCCCCAUCAUGUUAUGCCAGGCAUUCUCUCAUCUGCGAAGGAAAGAUUAUACCUGAGUCUGGGGGACAUGACUUCAACCAUAUCACUCUCCUUCUCUGAAGUCUAAAGUCCUCAACCUGGAACCCAAGGCUUUCUACAAUUUGAUGUCUAUAUUCUCCCAGCCAGUAGUCAAGGAAUUGAAGACACAAGCAGGUACUGACUGUCUGAACCGCAGAGUUCCACUGGGGAUGAUAAGCCCUCGGACAGCAGCAGUCCUGCCUUCUGCUCCCACCUCCUUCGCUAUGCCCGAGAGGACGCUGAGCCCAGGAGACAAUCGAUUGGUCACUACCCGAAAAAUCUCUGAAAAUGUAAUCUGAGUCCUGAAACCCAUUGGUAUGGGACUGUCUUCUCUUGGUGGAAAUCAGUGCCCUGGGCCCUGGGUGAGGGAUGGGGC